rnacentral:misc_RNA from 1 species
GAAAUGCGAUACUUGGUGUGAAUUGCAGAAUCCCGUGAACCAUCGAGUCUUUGAACGCACAUUGCGCCCCUUGGUAUUCCAUGGGGCAUGCCUGUUCGAGCGUCAUUUGUACCCUCAAGCUUUGCUUGGUGUUGGGUGUUUGUCCCGCGCUCUUUUGCGCAAGACUCCGGCCGUUAAACACCCCAUUUCUAAGGUUGACCUCGGAUCAGGUAGGAAUACCCGCUGAACUUAA